ACGGAAUAGGGGUUUACUCCUAUUCAGUGGCGGAAGGGUUAGUAAUACAUAGGUAACCUACCUUUUACUUGGGAAUAACGACUGGAAACGGUCGCUAAUACCGAAUGUGAUGGUCUCGGGCAUCCGAGAUUCAUCAAAGCGGGGGAUCGCAAGACCUUGUGGUAGAUGAAGGGCCCAUGGGAUAUCAGCUUGUUGGUGAGGUAAGAGCUCACCAAGG
rnacentral:rRNA from 1 species